rnacentral:tRNA from 3 species
GCCGAAGUGGCGGAACGGUAGACGCAGCGGACUCAAAAUCCGCCGCCCUUAAAAGCGUGUGGGUUCGAGUCCCACCUUCGGCACCA